rnacentral:misc_RNA from 1 species
GGCAUUUCCUCAGUGCUCUGUUACCCUCUCUGUUAUAUGCCCAAGGAAGCUUCCCAAAUUAAGAGCAAUAUAUAAUGCGGGAAAACGCGAUCAACAAGCAGCUGCCCCGACCGUUGAUAUGUCUAAGAAUCCAAAUUUUCUUGUAUUAAUUUCGGAAAAUUUUAGUGAGGCCUGUGCUGCUUUCACUCACAGUGAAGUGGAACGUUUAGCGCCAAGCCAGACCCUGGUUGAAAUGGAUAUGUCUUCUGUGCCUCCAGUUUCCAGUCCAGCCUCAACUUCUAAUCCAGCAAGUCAGGCAAAUUCUGGAACUCCUCUUGCAUACAUGCCUGUUUUGAAUCAACAACCAAUUUCAGCCGGAAAUAUUCCUCUGGGUAAGAAUAAUAGUGCAGAGGCUAACAUGUCUCUGUCUCAGCAGCAAACAUUGGCUACAGUACCAUCAGCUCAAUCAGGUUAUGUCAAAUUCUGGGAGGGAAAUUUAUGUAUGGUGAGGGAGGGUCAACCCCAACAUAUUUUGAGACUACAGGGGUACAAGAAAUCUUCAGCUUCUGAAUCGUCUGCUGCAAAUUUGCCCCAAACAUUGCAAAUUCGCCGCUUUAUGCUCAAAGAUCAUAUGUUUCAACUAGUUAGAGAGUGCACCGGAAAGGCAGAUAUUCUAGCUUUUUGGGCAAGCGACUGGCAUGGAGUUCUUAAUGCUCUGCACGAAAAGAACUUAUCUGCAGUAAUUCAACUACCAUCACAGACAUUGUUCAUCCAUGCUGAUAAAAGAAGUUUCCCCUUAAUUGGAUUGCUUUUAUCUAAUGAGAACAUCAGGU